GACGAACGCUGGCGGCGUGCUUAACACAUGCAAGUCGAACGAUGAAGCAGAGAGACGCGUCCUUCGGUGCAAGUGUCACUCCGGUGUAGUGGCAGACGGGAGAGUAACGCGUGGGCAACCUACCCCUCACAAAAGGAUAGCCACGGGCAACCGAGAUUAUUAACCUCAGACACCAUCAGAAGGCAACGUAAGAAUGUUAAAGCUACGGCGGUAAGGGAUGGGCUCGCGUCCCAUUAGAUGGAAGGGGAGGUAACGGCCCACCAAGGCGACGGUGGGUAACCGGGCUGUGAGGGGGAACCGUCACAUUGGAACUGAGACACGGUCCAAACUCCUACGGGAGGCAGCAGUGGGGAAUAGUGCACAACGGAGGGAACUCUGAUGCAGCGCCGACGCGUGAGCGAUGAAGUAAUUCGUUUCGUAAAGCUCUGUUCUAUGUGAAGAAAAUGACUGUACCAAAGGAGAAAGCCCCGGCUAACUACGUG
rnacentral:rRNA from 1 species